GGGAAUUGUUCGCAAUGGGCGCAAGCCUGACGACGCAACGCCGCGUGGAGGAUGAAGGUCUUCGGAUUGUAAACUCCUGUUGAUCGGGACGAAAAGCUUCGACCUAACACCUCGACGACUGACGGUAACGGUUGCGGAAGCCACGGCUAACUCUGUGCCAGCAGCCGCGGUAAUACAGAGGUGGCAAGCGGUGUUCGGAAUUACUGGGCGUAAAGGGCGCGUAGGCGGCCUUCUAAGUCGGACGUGAAAGCCCCAGGCUUAACCUGGGAACUGCGUCCGAUACUGGGAGGCUUGGAUUCGGGAGAGGGAUGUGGAAUUCCAGGUGUAGCGGUGAAAUGCGUAGAUAUCCGGAGGAACACCGGUGGCGAAGGCGGCAUCCUGGACCGAGAUCGACGCUGAGGCGCGAAAGCUAGGGGAGCAAAC
rnacentral:rRNA from 1 species